AUUGAACGCUGGCGGCAUGUUUUACACAUGCAAGUCGAACGGUAACAGGUUAAGCUGACGAGUGGCGAACGGGUGAGUAAUGCAUCGGAACGUGCCCGAUCGUGGGGGAUAACGCAGCGAAAGCUGCGCUAAUACCGCAUACGAUCUGAGGAUGAAAGCGGGGGACCGUAAGGCCUCGCGCGAUCGGAGCGGCCGAUGUCAGAUUAGGUAGUUGGUGGGGUAAAGGCCCACCAAGCCGACGAUCUGUAGCUGGUCUGAGAGGACGACCAGCCACACUGGGACUGAGACACGGCCCAGACUCCUACGGGAGGCAGCAGUGGGGAAUUUUGGACAAUGGGCGAAAGCCUGAUCCAGCAAUGCCGCGUGCAGGAAGAAGGCCUUCGGGUUGUAAACUGCUUUUGUACGGAGCGAAAAGGUCCUUUCUAAUACAAGGGGCUCAUGACGGCACCGUAAGAAUAAGCACCGGCUAACUACGUGCCAGCAGCCGCAGUAA
rnacentral:rRNA from 1 species